rnacentral:rRNA from 1 species
UGCUUGCACCAGAUGAAACUAGAUACAAGCGAGCGGCGGACGGGUGAGUAACACGUGGGUAACCUGCCCAAGAGACUGGGAUAACACCUGGAAACAGAUGCUAAUACCGGAUAACAACACUAGACGCAUGUCUAGAGUUUAAAAGAUGGUUCUGCUAUCACUCUUGGAUGGACCUGCGGUGCAUUAGCUAGUUGGUAAGGCAACGGCUUACCAAGGCAAUGAUGCAUAGCCGAGUUGAGAGACUGAUCGGCCACAUUGGGACUGAGACACGGCCCAAACUCCUACGGGAGGCAGCAGUAGGGAAUCUUCCACAAUGGACGCAAGUCUGAUGGAGCAACGCCGCGUGAGUGAAGAAGGGUUUCGGCUCGUAAAGCUCUGUUGGUAGUGAAGAAAGAUAGAGGUAGUAACUGGCCUUUAUUUGACGGUAAUUACUUAGAAAGUCACGGCUAACUACGUGCCAGCAGCCGCGGUAAUACGUAGGUGGCAAGCGUUGUCCGGAUUUAUUGGGCGUAAAGCGAGUGCAGGCGGUUCAAUAAGUCUGAUGUGAAAGCCUUCGGCUCAACCGGAGAAUUGCAUCAGAAACU